rnacentral:misc_RNA from 1 species
GACCGAUGGCAAUUGCACCGCCGUUGACAUUGACCUUGGCAGGAUCCCAGCCGAUUUCCUUGUUCACAGCGGAAGCCUGCGCGGCGAAAGCCUCAUUGGCCUCGAUCAGAUCGAGGUCGCUUGGCUUCCAGCCUGCCUUCUUGAGCGCGGCGCGAGACGCCGGAAUCGGCCCGGUGCCCAUGAUCGACGGAUCGACGCCCGCCUGCGCNGCGGUGUCUUGCCUUCCUUGGCAGCCUGCUUUGCGGUCAUCAGCACCAGCGCCGCGGCGCCGUCAUUGAUGCCAGAUGCAUUACCGGCGGUCACCGUGCCUUCCANNNNNGGCUUGAGCUUGGCCAUCGCAUCCAUCGACGCGCCGUGACGCGGACCUUCAUCCGCUUCCA